rnacentral:lncRNA from 1 species
UUUCAGGAAAGAGAGUCAUAAGUGCGCACCCGUGAAAUGCAGGUGCUGAAUAAAAAUUCCACCACAGUAUGCAUGAGCGAUCUGUUUUCUGUAUUAACCCAUUAGAUGCUGGGACCUGGGUCACAAUCCACAGAGUGAAUAUCUCCGGCAUUUCUUCUCUAGGGAUGCCAACAGGACUACUAUGAGGUGAAAUACAUAGUAACUUCCCCAUUUUAACUGCAAUUUUGGCCAGACUGCCAGGGAGUUGGGACAGCCAAGGAGAGUUUCCAAAGAUCAUAGGUCUUAAAGGGUCUUUGACUGCAUGUGAUACUUUUUUGCAUCUGGUAAUAUAUGCUGACCAUGGUCCUACAUGAAGUGUUAUAGUAGCACCAAACCUCUCCUCCACUGCUUCCUGGGAUUACCUGUAGCCCCAGUUGUAAAUGAGUGAGUCAGUCACAACUGGAGACCCUACUUUGAUAACAACUUCACAGAUAUACAAGUUAUAGAUC